rnacentral:lncRNA from 1 species
AUCGGAUCUAAUAGCAGAUACAUUUUCCCAUAAAGGAGACACGCUGGGAUACUGACAAGGAGACCAGCAGGACCCCAGGACAAACUCCAGGCUGGGAGUUCGGAAAGGACAGCACUGUGGUCCAUUGUAGGAAAGUGGUUCCUGACUCUCCACUGCAGGAUCACAGUUGCUCAUUAAAAUGCAGAUUCCCGGGCUCCCGUUUAGACGUCUUGGAUAACAACCCGUGGAAGUGAGACCUGGAAUCUGCAUUUUUCAGGUCGCUUCACACCUCCGGACCUGUUUCCGAAACUGUGAGAGGAGGCGGGAGGAUGAUAGUAAAAUCUGCCUGCGGCACUCGACCGCCCCCCAGCGGUGAGAGCGAGC